UUUAUCUGAAAAACAAAUCAAACCACCGGUAUAAUUAAGAUGCGACGUCGUUCAGACUUCCCGUGGUGAAAUGGUAACUAGAGGAGACGCGGAAUAUGAAUUGGGAUCUUCUCCACAGAAAUUGCAUUGAAACAUCUUGCAUUUGCAGGAAACGUAUUGCUUGGCCCAAGCUUUGAUUUAAAUCAUUUUAGGGGACACAGUCAGAAAUAUUUUGUGAGGAUGAAUAGAAAAUUUGGAGGUGGAAAGCAGCCAACAGGGACUCCUUCACUGGCUUGGUCCUGCGUGGUUGUUGUCUUCUCUCUUCUUGCUGGUGCCUCUGUUGUUCACAAUAUCUUUAAGCCUAACCUUACAUUACCUCCAGUCGAUGGAGUUGAUAGCAACAAGCAGAAACAUGAUGAAAAAGAAUGAUCAUCUCCCCUGGUGAAUUCCUUUUUAUUAUCGUGAAGGUGACCAAAUUUGGUUAAAGAACUAUCAGUGCAAGUAAGUCUGAUAAACUAAAAAGGAUUAAUUUUGUAUGAGAAUAGUAAUUUUGUUUUUCAUUUUUUUGGAAUUUUGUUUUUACGGUGAUGUUUUAAAUUUUUGGAGGAUGUAUGGUUGCAAAUUUUUUGGAAGACUAAUAGUGAUGUUUUAAAUUUUUUAGAGACUAAUGGUGACCAAAAUAUAGCCAUUUAGGGAUGUUUUAUAGUGAUGAUGUUUUAAUUUGGGAAA